rnacentral:rRNA from 1 species
AACGAACGCUGGCGGCAUGCCUAACACAUGCAAGUCGAACGAGACCUUCGGGUCUAGUGGCGCACGGGUGCGUAACGCGUGGGAACCUGCCCUUAGGUUCGGAAUAACUCCCCGAAAGGGGUGCUAAUACCGGAUAAUGUCUUCGGACCAAAGAUUUAUCGCCUUUGGAUGGGCCCGCGUUGGAUUAGCUAGUUGGUAGGGUAAAAGCCUACCAAGGCGACGAUCCAUAGCUGGUCUGAGAGGAUGAUCAGCCACACUGGGACUGAGACACGGCCCAGACCCCUACGGGGGGCAGGAGGGGGGAAUAUGGGACAAGGGGCAAAAGCCUGAUCCAGCAAGGCCGGGGGAGGGAAGAAGGCCUUGGGGUUGAAAAGCUCUUUUACCCGGGAUGAUAAUGACAGGCCCGGGAGAAUAAGCCCCGGCUAACUCCGG